UUUGUGUUCAGAUCAGGUCUGGUCCACCUCACAGCUACGAUGUCUCCAUCAUGUCCAGCUCUACAUGGCAGAGAGACGUCAUGUCCAGGUUCAGCUGUGAUGGUUUUCUCUUCUGCAGGAGAGGAAACAACACAGAUCAGAGAGGUUAAAGAGAUCAGAGAGGGACUCUAAUAUACAGUAUCUCUCUCUCGCUAUCUCUCUCUCUCUCUCUCUCU